rnacentral:rRNA from 1 species
UACGUAGGGGGCAAGCGUUGUCCGGAUUUAUUGGGCGUAAAGAGCGUGUAGGCGGCCAGAUAGGUCAGCUGUGAAAACUCGAGGCUCAACCUCGAGAUGUCGGCUGAAACCAUCUGGCUAGAGUCCGGAAGAGGAGAAUGGAAUUCCCGGUGUAGCGGUGAAAUGCGCAGAUAUCAGGAGGAACACCGGUGGCGAAGGCGGGUCUCUGGGCCGAUACUGACGCUGAGGAGCGAAAGCGUGGGGAGCGAACAGG